AUGUCUUCAAGUACCCAGCCCGUUACCGUGACACUGAGACACUUCAUCCGCACUGUUUUGGAAUUUAGGGUUCAUCACAAUCUUGGAUCUCCGCCAUCAGAGAAUCUGAGAUGCAGAGGUCGUCGUUACGAUUCCGUUUGUUAGGGUUUCGAUCACUUCCUUUCGCCUUCAGUAUAAAAAGAAUUUAACUGUUUAUGUAUCUGACCGGAACAUUCAGAGCUAGAUACGGCAGUGUUGGGCCGUUCCACGAAACAACAGGUCUUGAGUCGCUUCAUCUCUGCGGAGGCAUUUUCGGAAACUAACUAUGCUAACUCCCGAGAAAUCCGGUGGUUUUACAUCGUUUCUUGAUCUUCCACCUACACAAGCAGUGAGCUUCUCCAUUUCUCUGAUUCCUCAUCGUCGUUUCUUCAAGCACUGGCCCGUAACGGAAUCCGUUUAAAUAUCUCCCCACCGCCGCUUCUGGACAUUGGCUUUUCCUUCUAAUUCAGCCAUCUUGGAGCGAGCAGAUAGCUUCUCGGUACUACGUACGCGCCACUGAGAAGCUUGCAGACGAUGAAGAAGCCGAGAUGCUCUUUGUGGCGUUUUCUGAGUUUGAAGAGCGAUGCAAGGAGCCGGAACGUGCUAGGUUUAUCUACAAGUUUGCUCUUGAUCAUAUUCCUACAGGGAGGGCUGAGGAUUUGUAUAAAAAUUUUGUGGCAUUUUAUAAACAGUAUGGUGAUAAGGAUGGGAUGCCACUUCUGGGAAGAGAAGGUUUCAGUAUGAAAAUGAAGUGAGGAAGAACCCUUUGAACUAUGAUUCUUGGUUUGAUUACGUUAAGCUUGAAGAAACUGUGGGGAACAAAGAUAUAGGAUAAAGGAGAUGUAUGAGAGGGUUAUUGUUAAUAUUUCACCUGCUGAAGAGAAAUAAUACUGGCAAAAAUACAUUUUUCUCUGGUAAGUUUAUUCUUUUUCAGUUUGGUUUUGGCAAUAAUGCAUAAUCGAUUUAGCUGGAAUUGGAAUGUUGCCUUCUUAUGUAGUUAUGUGAAUCAUGCUUUGAAUAAGAAGGUUAAGUUUUUAAACUGAGUUGUUAGAGUUUGAUCAUGAUUUGAUUUGCAUAAGUAGUUUCUUCAAUAGUGAAAGCUAUUGGUGUUUGUCUUUAUUAGCUUAUUUGGUUCUGCGAUUUUGACAAUAAUGCAGACGUGAAUUUUAAAAUAAACAUACUGAAUAUAUAAAUUAUAAUAUUUUUUUCUUGGAUUUUUCAAUUGUUUACAUUGAUAUCUUCUCACAGUUGGUCAAUUCUCAUGAGCAUAUAAUAUAAAACAUAAAUUGUACUAUUGUUGUAAAUGUGAGGUAAUUUCGUAACUCACGGUUUAAUUGAGUACGUGUGGAGUUGAGCUGAUGGACCAUGUGAUGGAGAGCAACGGAGCAAGCGCCGGAGAGCGACGGAACGAGUGGAGUUGAGCUGGACCAUGUGACAUGCAGAUCAAGGACAGCCAUGGAACAAGUGGCAGAGAGUGUGACGAGAGAUAGCAAAGGCAAUUAUUACAUUAUCACAUGGGAGGUCGAUAGGCUCUCGGACAUGGUUCGAAGUUUCUGUAAAUGGAGGGAUGGAAGUCGCGGUGGAGUCUGACCUGACUGCAUAGCUUCUCAUGAGGCUGUUGUUCAAAUUCGGUGGCAUUACAGCAGACGGGAAAGCUAGAGUACAACGAUAACGCAGAGGUUAAUGUUUUAUCUCCUUCAUUCUGCAUCUGUCUGCAUGGUCUAUUUUUACACAAUAAGAAUGUCAACAACAGUGGUGAACGAUAUGCAUCAUGUAUGUAUGACUAAUCAGCUAUGAGGCUUUCGGGUGAGUUGCAGUGAUAUGAUAUGUGACUUUAGUAGAUAUACAUUAGGAUUCUGUUAAGGGGAUGAUACUAGAUGAUGAGUAUGUACUCAUGAGAUCUGCUAAUAUCAACCAAAUAUCAUUGGCCGGUACAAAAGAUACAGAAAUAGCAAUGGGUGCAUAUCAACCCCAUCAUACAUGGACUAACAAGGGAAGACACCCACGUGGCCAGGUGUAUGGGUACAGAAUGUCACUAUGAACAGAACAUUUAGGCAAAACAGGAGAUGAGUUCGUGGAGCCUGCUGAUCUAGAAUGCGUGAAUAACUUUCGCUGAAGGAAACUGGAAAAGUUUCAUAACUUCGGAAUUCUCGGAGCUGCAAGAUCACUUGAUUAAAUAUCCUCUACAAGUAGACAGUGAAGCUAAAGUGAGCUCACUUCCAGAUUACGACAGCUUCCCAGAUGUUGGUGGUAAGAUCAUUGGAGUUCAUUCAAUGGCUCACCCUGAUACUCUAGCCAUGUAAUGUUACAUGGUUCGUUUCGAUUCUGAAGAAAAAGAAGCUGAGAGAGUUUUGUGUGAUUUGUGUACAUUUAACUGUACAUGCUCUGUGUUUCUUAUUUUUCUCAAGUAACAAAGAAACUGUAAUAUAAUUCCACAUGGAUGUAAUUUGAGGUUUCAGUUCAGAUUUAUUAAACCCAAAACAAAGAUUCAAUAUCAAAUCUACA